ensembl:lncRNA
UCUCCUGAGAAUCUGUUCAUUAUUGUUGGCUAUGGGAGAAAUGCUGGGCACAUCACCCUGUACUCAAUGGUACUUCUCACAUGGAAGAAGAAACAGGAGAAGAUCUAAAGGCCCUGUGACCGCUAGGGUUGCAGAACCAAGGUGAGGCAGGGGAGUUCUGCACAGACCUACAUCUUCAGCACACCUCCUCCAGAACUCCUGAUUCCAAGGGGGAAGGAUCUUACUUUAUUGGAAAGUAAGGUCCUGGGCAGCCAGAUUCACCUGGCUUUUUAUGCAAAGGGAUAAAAGAAGCAAUACAUAUAAAUGGUAUUAAUGCUCCCUAAAACAUCCUGGAAAUAUUCCUUCUGUAAAAUCUGUAUGACAAGUAUAGAUGGCAUCUCAUAAGGUGACCCAGAUGAUUCAGCACUUGGCUGCACAUGAGUAAUGUGGCCAUCCCCAUCUCUGCAGCAGUAACCUCUUUACACCAUGUAUUGCCAUCCAGGAGAUGUACAGGAUUUCUGCACAUAGAAAAGAAGGCUGGAGGAGCUGAGUGCUGGAUUUCAGCUUUCUUAACUGUAGCAAUAUCCCUGAAAACUUGGUGGGGUAACAGCAGCUGGAGCUGGAAGCCCCCAGCAUCCCUGCCUGAGAGGAUGUCAAUGGAGGUUCAGUACAGGGGGCUGCUGAGUAAAUACUGAGAAUGGGGAAAUAUUUGAGCAUUGGUCUCUCCAUACUCUUCUCUUGCUUGCACCCUCAGACGUGCCCUGUUUAAGCUCUGUUUCCAUUUUCAUUUUAUUUUAAUCACAGAAUCAUUAAGGUUGGAAAAAAACACGAAGGUCAUCAAGUCAACCCAUCCUCACCGUGCCCACUAACCAUGUCUCUUAGCCACCUAAGGGCCACCUGUCCUGCACCAGCACAACGUGGGUAGGAUGAGCCCUGGAGAAACUUCCUGUUGCUUGGCACCAGCUCUGAAAUCUUCCCAUCGAUGAAGCCAUACAAUGAGCCACGCUUAAUGAAUCAGAAUGUUAAUCAUCACUCACAUCAAUUCAGCAGCCCUGCCUGGAUGAUAGCUGCCCCCCUCUACUACUCUGAAUUCCUCCCCCUCGUCAUCAUCACAUCUUCUGGCUCUCUCCUUCAUUAGUUUUUAUCUGAUGAUUGAAUACCACUGUUAGCCAAAAAUUAUCAGUGCUAGCAUGCAUGCACAGCACACUGCAAGGGAGCAUUGUAAAACACAAGGCAAUUCAUGCUACAAAGCUGUCACAAACUGAAGAAAUAUCUCCCUUGUUUUCUCUGAGGCUGAAUGAAUGAAGCCUCAGCCCUGCUGCUGUACAACACUAAGCUCCUGUGGAAAGAAAAGCAUAACAUCCAGGCACAAUGGAAGAAAAAGCAGAUUCUUCAUGAUUAACAUAGGCAAUUUAACUGGAAGAAUUAUAAAAUAUCCCAAGUUGGAAGAGACCGAAAGGAUUUCAAAUCCAGCUCCUGGCUCCACACAGGACACCCAAAAAUCAGACCAUCUGUCUGGGAAGAGGAACAUCAGCUCAUGGAACUGACAUUUUGGAGAAUGGUUUCUUCUCGCUGCGUUUUUAGAUGAGUUGCAGUCAGUUUGUGCUGUAUAAGCCAUAUUAGGAGUAGGUUCCCACAGUGAAGCCAUGUCCAGCCCUGCCAGGCAGAAGGGGAAGAUGCUUUCAGCUUCUUUGCCUUCUCUUCAUGACAUCCCACCCUGAAUGCAUCUUUAGGCAUCUCUAAUGAGAUCUAGAAUGAGUCAUUAAUUUCUAAUUAAUUAACCUUUGUCAUGGCCUGCAGCAUUCUUAAUGUUGUUUUGUAAGAGUAUCCACUGUCACUCCGUGAUGGGCAUCUCCAUCAAGCCAGAAAAUCCCCUAUGGAAAUACCCUAAGGAUGAACAGAGCCCCAUACCCAAAAUCUGUGCUCAAAAGUAGAUUGCUCUGAGCCUUGUUUUGCACACAAAAAUGGUAGGGGUGGUAUUUUAACGUGUUUUCUUCUCAUGAGUUGAUGUUCCCAACAAGCAUGGUUGGUUGCUCUGGAUGUGUGCCCCAAGGCAACUCAGCCUGCCCAUCACUUCUCACUGUUUCUAACAGUUUGAAUUUGGAGCACCUGGCAUCAGUCACCGCAGGUAGAAGUGUUUGACACUGGAGCCUCCGGGUGGGCUCAGACAUGGUUAUUAGGAAAGAUUACAGAAAUGAUGACGCCAUUUAUUUACUGUUGGUGAAUGGCGUUGGCCAAGCUGGAGCACUGAUCUGUCUGUCACCUUACGUGCUGGGUUCCUGCUGAGCACUGGUGGGGUGCAGAACUGGGAUUCCAAUGGACUUUUGGAGAAGGAUUGGGCUUCUCGGGCUGCCCAUGGAGCUGCUGCACCCAUUGCAUUGCUUUGGCUGCUCAGCCCAGAUGCUAAGCAGAAAGGAAUAUGUUCAGUGUCCCAGGCACUGACAGCUCGACAUAUACACAGCAUAGAUAGCUUGCAAACUAGAUAAAGGAGUGACAACAUCUUCUUGAGAGAAAACACAGGGUUUCCCCCUCUGCGAUGCUUCAUCUCUGCUGUCUUCUGAUUUUGAUCUCCCAGGGCACACCACUCACAGCUGCCUUCCCGCUGUCCUGGGGCUUGCAGAGCCUUUUGGAGCAGUGUGGAGCCGCCCUCCUGCACACUAUUUGCUUAUCAUGGUUCCUGAUGGACAGUGUGCUUUGUGGGGUGGGGGAGGACUUUGGUUCCCUGCUGUCAUUGCUGGAGUUGUUGGUUAGCUGUGCCCCAGGCCACCCCUUGCCCCUUUCUCUAAGCAGCUUUUUACGCUGCGCAGCUCAAAGAGGUUGUAAAAUGCCUUUUCUCUGGCUUAGAGAGAGGGAGAGAAGAAAAUGCUUCUGGAUCUAAACCAACUAUUCAAACUCUUGCUUUCUGGCAUCCAAAGAAGUCCCAAGGGUUUGUUUUGCAAAGGAGAAAGUGCUGGAGAUUGAAAAGAGGUUACCUGUAAACUGUAGAGGUUAAAUACAGAGAAAGGUGCACACAGGGUUUAGGGCACCUUAAGAAUAAUGUUAAUUAUUUAAGACUGAGAGCACUGAAGGAUACGUCAGACAAGAGUUGGGAUGGAUUUGCACUGCCGCUGUGCUGCCAUUGAUUCCCACUCCCGGCCCAUUCGUGCUGCCAUGAGGCAGUCAGGGCAGCUUGGAAACCUCUGGUCUUCUUCAGAAUGUUUUUCAGUGGCCACAAACUGGGGACUGUGCAGCCCCUCAGGGACAACCCUGCCUGUGCCCAGCUGCUGAAUGCACGAAGAGAUUGGUGGAUGGGCACCAAAUCCUGCACCAAUGGCCAAGCCCAACCAAUGCAGUUUGAAGGUCACAUGUGGGCAUCCUCAGUCCUAAAACAGCUGUUUGGGGUUGAUGCUCGCAAGGCUUAGCAUUUCCAAAAGUGCCGAUGUGAUGCUCUGUCUCAGUGUGCCAUUAGCCCAUCAAGCAGUGUGCCACCUUCCUGACGAGGCACCAAACAGAGAGCAGGAAAGUUACUUGGAAAAUGCAUCACCAAUCUCCCCAUGAAGCCACAACCACGUACCCACUGUGAGGCUGUUGGCUUCCCGCAGUCUUCCCAUGGAAAAUGUCCUCACCUCCUGCUGCAGUUGGGCGGCAUCUCCAGAGGUUCACGGCGGGAGCUGCUUGUGUUUGGCUGGAGCACUGGGAAGGAUUUUGAUUCCAGGUUUUGCUCUGAUUUGCACCAGUGGCCACGUCCUAGCAGAGCGGCACUGCCACGGGCAAACAGAGCCCACAGCAGGGAGAAGAUCAUUGAGAAAGGAACGGGCUCUGCUGUAGGCAGCUCUAGGUUAAUAAGUGAGCUAUUCAUCUGAUAGGGACACGGGAGAAGUUUGCAGGUAUUCAGCCCCGCUACAGUUCAGCAAUACCGCUUUGCUUUAUCUCUCACCCAAGUAACACAAACAUUUAUGGAAUUACGUUUUAAGGCUUUUAAAGGUGUAUUUAGAACGUGUUUUCUUUGAAGCGUUAUCUUUGCAAGCUCUCAUGCGCUGAUAAAGGCCGUGUUUGGCUGCCUCUCGAGGAGCACUCGUGAGCUGUUGGCUCGGGGAGGUUUCUCCUCAGGGGCUGCAGGACAGCAGCGGUGGCAAUGCGGUGGGUGACAGCCUCAGGGACAGAGCAGAGAACAGAUGGGAAACAAAGCCUUUGGUCUCAGCAUGAAAGUUGCCAUCAUCUCCUCCCUGGGAGAAGGGAAGGAGCGCGGCGAAGCGAAUGACCUCACUGCAGGAUGGUUCCACUUAGCAUCCCCGGCCCUCCUCCCGGCCCUGCCCAGCGAUGAAGACGUCGUCCCACAGCUCAUCACUCACAGCAGCGCAUACCCGCGCCUCGUCCCGCAGUCGGGGAUUUGACCCGGAGCUCCUCGAAAUCAAUGGAAAGGCUCCAGUGGAUUUCUGUGGGGUUUGGAGCUGAGCGAAUGUUGGCAAACUCCACCAGAGCUAAUGGGAACUUUGCUGGCAGUGCAAGCCGACGGGUCAGGCGGAGGGAGAAAAUUAAUUCGUCAAGAGGAAGAUUCAUCUUCUCCUGAAGUUUCCAAGGGGUUUCUUAAAGGAGCACUCACCACCACGCUUUCCUGCGAGGAGAGCAGCUCCGGAUUGGCAGUGAUGCUAUUGCAAAUAUCUCGGGCGGUGUGAAGUCUCCCCCCGCUUCCUUUGCCCUGGUUCUGUCCUUCAGCUCAGCUCCUCACCUCCACCCUCGCCUGGAGCCGAAAUCUCCGUGCUGGAGCCUGGCCCCUCUCGGCCUCCCCUGUGCUGUUGCUUUCAUUCAUUUUCUUCUCCCCAAAUUGCCAGGCACAACUUGUCUGAACGUAUGCCGAACCUGAUAAGCCUUUGGCAGCCUCAAGAAUAGAUUGCUUUCAUAAAAAUGAAAACCAUUUCGUGAGAAGGGGGGGUGGGGGUGGAAAGGGGGAAGCAAAAGCAAAUGCGAAAAUAAUGUGCAGGCAAGGGCCCAUGCAAUCACCUGGCAGGAAGAGGCAUUCACAAAUCAAAGCAUAAAUCACAGCGCUGCGAGCAGCCGGGCCAGGCAGGCGGUGAAGCCCCACACCUCCAGGCUCUGUUUGCACACUCAGUUCUGCACAGAGCACAGAGCGGGCACAUCUUUCACCAGCGUGCAGAAGGGAACUUGCUGCAAAACUCACAAAGGAGAACUCACAAAGGAGAAAGGAGCCCCAGGACUAAGAUUGAGAUCCAGGAGUGCGUGGGUGCAGCAGUUUUGCAGUUACUGGGGCAGGGCAGGGAGAUGUGGAGGAUUCAGAAAGUCAGAGAUCGGCCUCAGGCGUUGGUGCAGCUCAGCAGAAAUAUCAGCCCAAAGAAAUCAUGUUCUCAAUGUGAGUUUUGCACUUGGAGAGCAAAACUUCACAGAGGUCCCUGCAAAUAGAGGAGAUGCUUGUGAGGAAGGGACAUAAAUCACUGCUUCGUGCAGCUCGAGCCAUUGCACAAUGGCACACGCUGCAGUUCCACCACGCCAAGCUGUGCAGAUUAGCAAUGGGGCCUGAGGGCGAAUCUGACAUGUCCAAAGAUGUUGGCCCUGGAAGGAAAGCACAAUGCUGCUGGAACCAGCUUAGCAGUUCGUAUGUGUAAGCACAGUGCUUGCUUAGCUGAGUCCUUUUCUUCACCUUCUGGGUUCUGCGGCUACAGGAUACAUCCAGUUUCUCUCUUUGCAGUCUUCAGUGACAGGCAC